rnacentral:rRNA from 1 species
CUUAUCCGCCGGCGACCGGCGCACGGGUGCGCAACGCGUAUAGAAUCUGCCCUGUACUGGGGAAUAGCCCAGAGAAAUUUGGAUUAAUGCCCCAUGGUAUGUGGAAGCGGCAUCGCUUUUACAUUAAAGGCUACGGUACGGGAUGACUAUGCGUCCCAUUAGUUAGUUGGUAAGGUAACGGCUUACCAAGGCAGCGAUGGGUAGGGGCCCUGAGAGGGGGAUCCCCCACACUGGUACUGAGACACGGACCAGACUCCUACGGGAGGCAGCAGUGAGGAAUAUUGGACAAUGGGCGGGAGCCUGAUCCAGCCAUGCCGCGUGCAGGAAGACGGUCCUAUGGAUUGUAAACUGCUUUUGUACGGGAAGAACAAGGGGCACGUGUGCCCCUCUGACGGUACCGUAAGAAUAAGGAUCGGCUAACUCCGUGCCAGCAGCCGCGGUAAUACGGAGGAUCCGAGCGUUAUCCGGAAUCAUUGGGUUUAAAGGGUCCGUAGGCGGGCCAUUAAGUCAGGGGUGAAAGUCUGCGGCUCAACCGUAGAAUUGCCCUUGAUACUGGUGGUCUUGAGUUAUGGUGAAGUAACUAGAAUAUGUAGUGUAGCGGUGAAAUGCAUAGAUAUUACAUAGAAUACCGAUUGCGAAGGCAGGUUACUAACCAUAUACUGACGCUGAUGGACGAAAGCGUGGGGAGCGAACAGGAUUAGAUACCCUGGUAGUCCACGCCGUAAACGAUGGAUACUAGCUGUCCGGAUGCAAAUCUGGGCGGCCAAGCGAAAGUGAUAAGUAUCCCACCUGGGGAGUACGUCCGCAAGGAUGAAACUCAAAGGAAUUGACGGGGGCCCGCACAAGCGGUGGAGCAUGUGGUUUAAUUCGAUGAUACGCGAGGAACCUUACCAGGGCUUAAAUGUGGUCUGACAGCUUUAGAGAUAGAGUUUCCUUCGGGCAGAUCACAAGGUGCUGCAUGGUUGUCGUCAGCUCGUGCCGUGAGGUGUCAGGUUAAGUCC